CGGCUCAACGAACUCGUCCGUAAGUCUAGCCGCCAGGAUUUCAUUGCCCCCAACAACCAAAUCGCGCCGGGUUUCUCGCGCCAAUCAACCCGAUUCUUCCCCUAGGGCUAUAUAUACAAAGGCCAUAUCCGCCCCCGACACCACAUGAUCAAGUCGCGCCCACACCGAGCGUGUCACGUCCAGAGAGAGAAAGGAGGGUGGUUGUGUCAGCCGUCGCCAUCGGGGCGAGGCUGUGCGAUUGUUGGGCCCUCGGGUAGCAAGCCAGGGGCGUCGCCAGGUCCCAUUGAAGCUGGUGUGUGAUUCAGCUGAACGUGGGGUGGCUCGAGGUGCGCGCAACUCGUCGUCAGCGUUGGGGCGGUGUCGCCAAUCCACUGCUCGCCGCAGGUAGUACCAUUGACGCCCAAACCCACAGUAAGAAUGCUUCCCCGUGCUUUGCAAUUCCCUCUUAGGCCUUGUUCGCUUCGACCGGGAUCAGUCUGGAUUGGAAAGAAUCCUCCCGGGAUCAGACCUCCGUGGUUGAAAUACCGGCCCACGCAAAAACAACGUUCGUUUAAGCCUGUUCGGGCAUCAACCCCGGCCCAUCCCGGACGAUUCCCACAUCAUCUCGACCGGGUUACAACCCUCGUCCCAUCGGCGUGGAAAGAAUCUGCGCUUGUUGGCGGCGCGGGAGGCUGCGGCGGCUCCGGGACGAAGGCGACUGCGGCGGCGUCCACAACAUCCACGAGACGGCAGCAACAGGACGGAGACGAAAAUCUGGUGCGCCUUGCGGCUGGGAUCAGGUAAGGCUCCGUAGAUCUUCGGAAAGCAAAAACGACGAGCGUCCUGUUAUCUAUGUCCGUAGGUCUCCGUAGAUCAGCAACAUCACUGAACGGAUGGAAGAGCUGGUAGCUUGUGAUUUGUGGAGAUCGAAUAUAUUAGCUGAUGCAGCGCUUCUGAUUGCAUUCAGAAUUUAUGCGGUGAUUAAUUCGUUAAUGGAUAGCAUUAAUUCAUGCAUGCGCGCACACACAUGGCGCAUAAACUUGGAUAUCUGUAUAGGUAGCAAGACCUUCCCAAUAAGAAUCCAGUUAACCAAUGCUGAUUGUAGUCACUGAACCGACCAACGCUUCUGAUUGCAGUCAGAAUUUGUGCGGUGAUUAGGAGCAGUAGCCAAGGAUUUGUUUGUAGUGAAUUUUCCCUGUUAUUUGCAUCACUACAGGUCUGAUGAUGCACAUUGGUGCAUUGCUGGGUUGUAAUUUUAGUUCUGGUCCAGUAUAGCUUUUAGUAGGUAACUACUUCGAUUUUGCAGAUCUGACAGUGGCUUCUUCACCGCCUGACCGGCGUCCAUGCUAUCACGGUGGCUACUCCUCGCCGGUGGAGUUUUGCUUCUUGAGUUUUCAGAAUAUUAGAACUUCAGUAAACUUUUAGGACAGUACACUUUUGUGCCCUGUAUGACUUAUAUGAGUCCUCGAGCUUUUUAUCUCCAUUUAAGUUAUUUGUUUUGGAUAUGUGUACGACGGCACAACUAUUUCUGACUUUUUUUAUUGGAUCAAUAUAUUUUGUUGAUGAGAGGAUUGAAAGCGACCUUGUCUGUAUACUGUACACCAAUGUGGUAGGUGCUAGUAGUUUUACACGGGUGCCUCAGGUUAUGAACAUCAUGUUUAGCACAACUGGAUUUUAAACUCUAUCGUCUUUCUUUUAUGCAGAAGACAUGUACAUAGCAUGGUUACUCCUUUCUACAAUUCUCCACUGGAGAUUAUUCCUGCACCGGUUCGAGUUGGAGAAGAAUUUCCACCGUCUUGGGAUCUAGAAAUUAGAAGCAAACAAGUUGAAGAUGAAGCGACACAAUUGGCAAGAGAAAGGGAGGUUAGAGGAAGUGAUGAUUUCUCAAUUAAGAAUUGCAUAGCAGUUCUAAACACAUUGGAAGUCACAAAGGAGGAGAAGGUCAAAGCCUAUAAGGUGUUUAAGGACUCUGACAAUCGACAGAUUUCUUGAGUGCCUGUAAUGAUGAUAGAGAGGCUGCAUUGAUGUGGUUGAGGGAUGAGAUGGCUUAGUAGGUAUACCUAAGUUCUAGACUUCCAGGGGUCGAGUUAUGUACGAAGUAGCUCCAAUCUUUAGAGGAAGAUUGUCUUCUUGACGGGUUUUAUGUACUUGUUCUAUCAAAGAGUGAGAUGAAUCAUUAUCUAGAUCUAUGAUCUCGUCAUGUUUAGUACACUGGAAAUGUAAUCUUUUGCAACUUAUUAGUGUUAACAGACCAUGAGAUAAUUGUGCAGGUUGUUUGAAAAGGCAUUAAUAUUGAGCUGACUGAAAAUUUUUAUUUUGGUAUUA